rnacentral:rRNA from 1 species
GUAGGCGGCUUGGUAACCCGGUUGUGAAAGCCCCGGGCUCAACCUGGGAAUGGCAUCCGGAACUGUCAGGCUAGAGUGCAGGAGAGGAAGGUAGAAUUCCCGGUGUAGCGGUGAAAUGCGUAGAGAUCGGGAGGAAUACCAGUGGCGAAGGCGGCCUUCUGGACUGACACUGACGCUGAGGUGCGAAAGCGUGGGUAGCAAACAGGAUUAGAUACCCUGGUAGUCCACGCCGUAAACGAUGUCGACUAGCCGUUGGGGUCCUCGAGACCUUUGUGGCGCAGUUAACGCGAUAAGUCGACCGCCUGGGGAGUACGGCCGCAAGGUUAAAACUCAAAUGAAUUGACGGGGGCCCGCACAAGCGGUGGAGCAUGUGGUUUAAUUCGAUGCAACGCGAAGAACCUUACCUACCCUUGACAUCCUCGGAAGCCUGCAGAGAUGCGGGUGUGCCUUCGGGAGCCGAGUGACAGGUGCUGCAUGGCCGUCGUCAGCUCGUGUUGUGAAAUGUUGGGUUAAGUCCCGUAACGAGCGCAACCCUUGUCCCUAUUUGCCAGCGAUUCGGUCGGGAACUCUAGGGAGACUGCCGGUGACAAACCGGAGGAAGGUGGGGACGACGUCAGGUCAUCAUGGCCCUUACGGGUAGGGCUACACACGUGCUACAAUGGUCGGUACAAAGGGUUGCGAGUUCGCGAGGACGAGCCAAUCCCGAAAAGCCGAUCUCAGUCCGGAUCGGAGUCUGCAACUCGACUCCGUGAAGUCGGAAUCGCUAGUAAUCGUGAAUCAGAAUGUCACGGUGAAUACGUUCCCGGGCCUUGUACACACCGCCCGUCACACCAUGGGAGUGGACUGCACCAGAAGUGGUUAGCCUAACCUUCGGGAGGGCGAU